rnacentral:rRNA from 1 species
UACGUAGGGGACGAGCGUUGUCCGGAAUUACUGGGCGUAAAGCGUGCGCAGGCGGUGAUGUAAGACAGAUGUGAAAUCCCCGGGCUCAACCUGGGAACUGCAUUUGUGACUGCAUCGCUGGAGUGCGGCAGAGGGGGAUGGAAUUCCGCGUGUAGCAGUGAAAUGCGUAGAUAUGCGGAGGAACACCGAUGGCGAAGGCAAUCCCCUGGGCCUGCACUGACGCUCAUGCACGAAAGCGUGGGGAGCAAACAGG